UACGAAGGGGGCUAGCGUUGCUCGGAAUCACUGGGCGUAAAGGGUGCGUAGGCGGGUCUUUAAGUCAGGGGUGAAAUCCUGGAGCUCAACUCCAGAACUGCCUUUGAUACUGAGGAUCUUGAGUUCGGGAGAGGUGAGUGGAACUGCGAGUGUAGAGGUGAAAUUCGUAGAUAUUCGCAAGAACACCAGUGGCGAAGGCGGCUCACUGGCCCGAUACUGACGCUGAUGCACGAAGCGUGGGGAGCAAGCAGG
rnacentral:rRNA from 1 species